UCCCGGCCCCCCCCGGCCACGGCGCACCGCCUCCCCGCCCCCGCCAGCCCUCCCCCACCGCGCGCGCUCCGCCCGCCCCGGAGCCUCGCCCUCCGCCACGAUGAGCAAAUGAGCGCGAGCGAGGGCAUGAAAUUUAAAUUCCACUCAGGGGAGAAAGUGCUGUGCUUCGAGCCUGACCCCACCAAGGCGCGAGUGCUGUACGAUGCCAAGAUUGUUGAUGUUAUUGUUGGGAAAGACGAAAAAGGCAGAAAGAUCCCAGAAUAUCUGAUCCAUUUUAAUGGUUGGAACAGAAGCUGGGAUAGAUGGGCAGCAGAAGAUCAUGUGCUUCGUGAUACCGAUGAAAAUCGUAGAUUACAGCGUAAAUUGGCAAGAAAAGCUGUAGCUCGCCUGAGGAGCACAGGAAGAAAGAAGAAGCGCUGCAGGUUGCCUGGUGUGGACUCUGUCUUAAAAGGCCUCCCCACUGAAGAAAAAGAUGAAAAUGAUGAAAACUCAUUAAGCAGUUCCUCUGACUGUAGUGAAAACAAGGAUGAAGAAAUAAGUGAAGAAAGUGAUAUUGAAGAAAAGACUGAAGUGAAAGAAGAACCAGAGCUUCAAACAAGAAGGGAAAUGGAAGAAAGAACAAUAACUAUAGAAAUCCCUGAGGUUCUGAAGAAGCAGCUGGAGGAUGAUUGUUACUACAUUAACAGGAGGAAACGGUUAGUGAAACUUCCAUGCCAGACCAACAUCAUAACGAUUUUGGAAUCCUAUGUGAAGCAUUUUGCUAUCAAUGCAGCCUUUUCAGCCAAUGAGAGGCCUCGUCACCAUCACGUUAUGCCACAUGCCAACAUGAACGUGCAUUAUAUCCCAGCAGAAAAGAAUGUUGACCUUUGUAAGGAGAUGGUGGAUGGAUUAAGAAUAACCUUUGAUUACACUCUCCCGUUGGUUUUACUCUAUCCAUAUGAACAAGCUCAGUAUAAAAAGGUGACUUCGUCUAAAUUUUUUCUUCCAAUUAAGGAAAGUGCCACAAGCACUAACAGGAGCCAGGAGGAACUCUCUCCCAGUCCGCCUUUGUUGAAUCCAUCCACGCCACAGUCCACAGAGAGUCAGCCGACCACCGGUGAACCAGCCACCCCCAAAAGGCGCAAAGCUGAGCCAGAAGCAUUGCAGUCUCUGAGGCGGUCCACGCGCCACAGUGCCAACUGUGACAGGCUUUCUGAGAGCAGCGCUUCACCUCAGCCCAAGCGCCGGCAGCAGGACACAUCCGCCAGCAUGCCCAAGCUCUUCCUGCACCUGGAAAAGACCUCUCCUGCUGUGCUGACUCCUUCAGGGGUCCUUCUAAGCAUCAUCCUGUUGGAACUCCCAAAAGUCAUCCCAGUGCCAUUCUGUGUUCAGGUGCCCAUUUCCUUGUGUACAUCCUGUCCCUGCCACAUCCAUAAGCUCCUGAGAGAAAGGUCUGACUUGUUGAUUGUGUCACCCCAUCACAGCUCAGUGUUGGUGGCAUAGUUCCAGGUGCGCGAAAGUAUUUGCUGAUUCUUUGAAGAUUGGGAAGGCUCAGAAGGGCAGAGUUGAAGAAGGCAUACCUUUAAGAGAAGCCCUUUGAAUAAUCAAGUGCUAAAACAAAAUCAGGUGCUUUUUUAAAACAGCUUGAUUGAGAUAUAAUCCACAUACCUUAAAAUUCACACAUUUAAAGUUUUUAGUGUCUCCAGACACAGUGGUUCAUGCCUGUGAGACUGGGGCAGGAGGAUCACUUGAGGCCAGGAGUUCAAGAUCAGCCUGGGCAAUAUAGUGAAACCCCAUCUCUUAAAGAAAAAGUUAGCCAGGUGUGAUGAUGUGCACCUAUAGUCCCAGCUACUUGGGAGGCUGCAGCUGUGGCUGUGGCUGAAGCUGGCGGAUCGCUUGAGGCCCAGAGUCUAAGACUGCAGUGAGCUCUCAUUGGGCCACUGCAGUCGAGCCUGGGCGACACAAAGAGACCACCCUGUCUGAUAGAUAACUAACAAAAUAGUUUUAGUUGGGCAAAAUUAAAGAGUUGGGCAACCAUCACUGAAAUCAGUUUCAGACAUUUUCACCACUCCAAAAAAGAAACCCCACAUCGACUAGCAGUUACUCAUUUGCUUCUCCCUAUGUCCCCUGACAACCACUAAUCUAUUUGUCUCUAUAGAUUUGCCAGUUUGGGGCAUUUCAUAUAAAUGGAAUCAUCUGUAUGUAAGUGGUUAAUAAGGAUUGGUUGAUUGAAGAUUGAAAAGGGUCAGCUGGGAAAAUUUUUAAAAAGACUUUAAAAAGGUGCUACAAAAUAAAGUGCUAUCUUUUUCUGUUUCUCUUUGUACUUUUUAUUUUUUAUUUGUAUUUAUUGAUGUGAAAUUCACAUAUAAAAUUAACCAUUGUAAAGUGAAUAAUUCAGUGGCACUUAACAGCUUCAUUGACACAUCCACAUAUACAGUUCAAUCCAGUAGUUUUUAGUGUAUUCACAGAGUUGUGCGACCAUCUGCACAGUCAAUUCCAGAACAUUUUCAGCACCCCCCAAGAGAAACCCCAUACCCAGUAGCAAUCACUCCCCACUUCCCCUUCUGCAAGCUCCUGGCAACCACUAAGCUGCUUUCGGUCUCUCUGGAUUUGCCUACCCUGGGUAUUUCAUAUAAAUGGAAACAUAGUAUAUGGCCCUUUGUGAUUGGCUCCAUUCACUUAGCAUAGUCUUUUAAGGUUCAUCCACAUUGUAGCAUGUGUCAGUGCUUUAUUCCUUAUUUUUUUAACCAAAUAAAAUUCAGGUGCUAUCUGUUAUAAAAGGAAAGUCUUAUCGUUAAAGGUUGGUAAUUUCUGAGAACCAAGUUUAGAUUUAUGUUCUGCAGUUUUUAACAGUCUUGAGGCAGUCUUUAAUUCAGUUGCUGUGUGAAUAAUUUCAUCUUUUUCUUUGGAAGAGACACCUGUGCAUAGCAGAUCAUCUUCACCUAUUCCUCUGACUCCUAGCAAGGAAGGGAGUGCUGUGUUUGCUGGCUUUGAAGGGAGAAGAACUAAUGAAAUAAACGAGGUCCUCUCCUGGAAGCUUGUGCCUGACAAUUACCCCCCAGGUGACCAGCCGCCUCCACCCUCUUACAUUUAUGGGGCACAACAUUUGCUGCGAUUGUUUGUGAAACUUCCAGAAAUCCUUGGAAAGAUGUCCUUUUCUGAGAAGAAUCUGAAGGCUUUAUUGAAGCACUUUGAUCUCUUUUUGAGGUUUUUAGCAGAAUACCACGAUGACUUCUUCCCAGAGUCGGCUUAUGUCGCUGCCUGUGAGGCACAUUACAGCACCAAGAACCCCCGGGCAAUUUAUUAAAAUGUUGUUGGUUCUGUAAGAGCAACUGCUCUGUCUAGUUUGGCGCUCUGGGUUCCAGGUGAAUAACUAACAAGGUGGUGGGUCUUUACCCACAGCGCAAACACAAUGCCCACCUUGGGGCUCUGUUGUUUGAGUUGCCCACAUACUGCAGUUAUUCUGUUAGGAAUGAUUUCCUGGGUGCCUGAAAGUGCUCUGACACGACACUUGUUACUUUGCAGGCCAUCUGUGAUGGCAAGGAAAAAGCAACUAUGUUCACAGUGAAAUAUUCGUGGAAUAGGUUAGGCCAUUUCAGUAGACAUUGCAGUUAGUUAGCAAGAACCACAUUGUCUCUUUAUUUGUUAGCAUUAAACAAAUUUUUUUUUGCAAAUUGGUUUUAUUUUUUUGAUGAAGCCGAGCAACUCUGUCCAAAAAGGUUUAGUUUGUACUCGGAAACCACAAAGUAGUCUCAAAGUAUUUUAGAGGGAAUCGAUAUUGAUGGCAAAAGAAAAUUUGCAGCUAUGCAUUUGCUUCUAACGGUUCCCUCUCUGUGAAACAUUAUUUUUGGUGAUCUAAAGAAAGCAUUGCCUUUCUUAUUUGAGAUUUUACAGCUAUACUUUGUUGUGUAAUGUUAUGGUUCCCUUUCUGUAAAAUGUUAUUUUUGGUGAUCUAAAUAAAGCCUGUCUUGUUUGAAAGAA